CAGCAGCCGCGGUAAUACGAAGGGGGCUAGCGUUGUUCGGAUUUACUGGGCGUAAAGGGCGCGUAGGCGGACUGAUAAGUCAGGGGUGAAAUCCCAAGGCUCAACCUUGGAACUACCUUUGAUACUGUUUGUCUUGAGUUCGAGAGAGGUAAGUGGAACUGCGAGUGUAGAGGUGAAAUUCGUAGAUAUUCGCAAGAACACCAGUGGCGAAGGCGGCCCACUGGCCCGAUACUGACGCUGAGGCACGAAAGCGUGGGGAGCAAACAGGAUUAGAUACCCGAGUAGUCCCUGUCUCUUAUAC
rnacentral:rRNA from 1 species